rnacentral:rRNA from 1 species
CCUACGGGAGACAGCAGUGGGGAAUAUUGCACAAUGGGGGAAACCCUGAUGCAGCAACGCCGCGUGAGUGAAGAAGUAUUUCGGUAUGUAAAGCUCUAUCAGCAGGGAAGAAGAAAGACGGUACCUGACUAAGAAGCCCCGGCUAACUACGUGCCAGCAGCCGCGGUAAUACGUAGGGGGCAAGCGUUAUCCGGAUGUACUGGGUGUAAAGGGAGCGUAGACGGCUGUGCAAGUCUGAAGUGAAAGCCCGUGGCUCAACCGCGGAACUGCUUUGGAAACUGUAUAGCUGGAGUACUGGAGAGGCAGGCGGAAUUCCGAGUGUAGCGGUGAAAUGCGUGGAUAUUAGGAGGAACACCAGUGGCGAAGGCGGCCUGCUGGACAGAAACUGACGUUGAGGCUCGAAAGCGUGGGGAGCAAACAGGAUUAGAUACCCGUGUAGUC